rnacentral:rRNA from 1 species
UACGGAGGGUGCAAGCGUUAAUCGGAAUUACUGGGCGUAAAGCGCACGCAGGUGGCUGAGUCAGUCGAUUGUGAAAGCCCUGGGCUUAACCUGGGAAUUGCAGUCGAUACUACUCAGCUAGAGUAUGGGAGAGGGUAGUGGAAUUCCCGGUGUAGCGGUGAAAUGCGUAGAGUAUCAAGAGGAACACCAGUGGCGAAGGCGAGUCCCUGGACAAUUCCUGACACUGAGGCACGAAAGCCAAGGGAGCAAACAGG